rnacentral:piRNA from 1 species
CACAGGGGAACAGAGAACAGAGCCAGA